rnacentral:rRNA from 1 species
UAACGCGUGAGCAACCUGCCUUCAUCAGGGGGAUAACACUCCCAACGGGGUGCUAAUACCGCAUGAGACCACGGGAUCGCAUGGUCCUGAGGUCAAAGGUGGCCUCUAUUUAUAAGCUACCGGAUGAAGAUGGUCUCGCGUCCCAUUAGCUAGUUGGCGGGGUAAUGGCCCACCAAGGCGACGAUGGGUAGCUGGUCUGAGAGGAUGGUCAGCCACACUAGGACUGAGAUACGGCCCAGACUCUACGGGA